rnacentral:rRNA from 1 species
UACGACUACAUAUCAGGCAUAUCAAUAAGCGGAGGAAAAGAAACUAACAAGGAUUCCCUUAGUAACGGCGAGUGAAGCGGGAAGAGCUCAAAUUUGAAAUCUUCAAGGUUCUACCUUGACGAAUUGUAGUUUAAAGAAGUGUUUUCUGUUAGAUGAGUAGCAAAAGUUCCUUGGAAUGGGACAUCAUAGAGGGUGAGAAUCCCGUAUUUGGUUAUUCAUUCUAGCUUUGUGAUACACUUUCAAAGAGUCGGAUUGUUUGGGAAUGCAGUCCAAAAUGGGUGAUAAAUUUCAUCUAAAGCUAAAUAUUGGCGAGAGACCGAUAGCGAACAAGUACCGUGAGGGAAAGAUGAAAAGAACUUUGAAAAGAGAGUUAAACAGUACGUGAAAUUGUCAAAAGGGAAGCGUUUGACACCAGUGUUGUUUUUCCGAAAAUCAAUUACGAAUGGCUUGAUUUUGUGUUGUAUUGACCUUAUCAGCUUUCUUCACUUUUUUCGAGUCUUUCUUAAUGCACUUUUCGGUUAACAAGUCAACAUCAAUUUCUUUUGUUGUAAAAGAGUAUUCGGAAGGUGGCUUUCUUUUCGGAGAAAGUGUUUAUAGCCCUAUACUUCUACAAUCGGAGAGAUUGAGGUCUGCAGCGUAGAUCCUUCGGGGUUAGAUACAUUUGUGCUAAGCUAGUAGCCUUGUAUAGACGACUUGUUGACUAUGCUCAGUCAUGUAGCUUACUCGCUUAUGCUAUUUUACCUACGCUUAGGAUGUUGAGUAGCGACAUACGCAC